GCGGGUGCAACCACCGCCUCGCGUCCACAGGGAGACCUUCCCAGAGCACGGAGACCUCCCCAGAGCGGGGAGACAGACCUACCUAGAGCCAGAAGAAGCGGCGGGAGCGCCGCGCCCGCGGAGCCCAUGGCGCGAUGAGUGCAAUUCCUGUAGAAUAUGUCCCCGGCUAUGCAGGAGCGCAGCAGGAUCCAGGAGUCUUGCCACACAACUAAUCCGAAGUCGGCAAUGAUGGUGAGCAAAGCUUGUGCCUGCCAUGGGGAUGUUAUGUUAACAGGAAAUAAGAUGAAGAGGCUCUGUAAGGAACUUUCACUAGGGAGAGAUCCUAUUCCAUUACGUCAGGAGGAAGAACAAUUGCACCCUUACCAUUGAAUAAGCCUUUACGACAGAAGAUAACGCUGAACUAGUUAUAUGAAACU